UUGAACGCUGGCGGCAUGCCUUACACAUGCAAGUCGAACGGUAACAGGUCUUCGGAUGCUGACGAGUGGCGAACGGGUGAGUAAUACAUCGGAACGUGCCCGAUCGUGGGGGAUAACGCAGCGAAAGCUGUGCUAAUACCGCAUACGAUCUACGGAUGAAAGCGGGGGAUCGCAAGACCUCGCGCGGACGGAGCGGCCGAUGGCAGAUUAGGUAGUUGGUGGGAUAAAAGCUUACCAAGCCGACGAUCUGUAGCUGGUCUGAGAGGACGACCAGCCACACUGGGACUGAGACACGGCCCAGACUCCUACGGGAGGCAGCAGUGGGGAAUUUUGGACAAUGGGGGCAACCCUGAUCCAGCCAUUCCGCGUGAGUGAAGAAGGCCUUCGGGUUGUAAAACUCUUUCGGCAGGAACGAAACGGUGAGCUCUAACAUAGCUUGCUAAUGACGGUACCUGAAGAAGAAGCACCGGCUAACUACGU
rnacentral:rRNA from 1 species